rnacentral:rRNA from 1 species
AACACGGAGCUUGCUCUGUGGGAUCAGUGGCGAACGGGUGAGUAACACGUGAGCAACCUGCCCCUGACUCUGGGAUAAGCGCUGGAAACGGCGUCUAAUACUGGAUAUGUGACGUGACCGCAUGGUCUGCGUCUGGAAAGAAUUUCGGUUGGGGAUGGGCUCGCGGCCUAUCAGCUUGUUGGUGAGGUAAUGGCUCACCAAGGCGUCGACGGGUAGCCGGCCUGAGAGGGUGACCGGCCACACUGGGACUGAGACACGGCCCAGACUCCUACGGGAGGCAGCAGUGGGGAAUAUUGCACAAUGGGCGCAAGCCUGAUGCAGCAACGCCGCGUGAGGGACGACGGCCUUCGGGUUGUAAACCUCUUUUAGCAGGGAAGAAGCGAAA